AUGAUUACUAGUUUAGAACUUUAUUUCUCUUCAAAUAUCACUUUUAAAAGUAUUCCCUGGCAGUUUGAAUCGCGGUGCGACGAAGGAGUAGGUGGUGGGAUCUCACCGUGGGUCCCAUUAGCCUUUUCUCUGCCUUGCUUGCUUGAGCUUCAGCGGAAUUCAAAAUGGCUGGCGGGUAAGGCUGGAAAGGACUCCGGAAAGGCCAAGACAAAGGCGGUUUCCCGCUCGCAGAGAGCCGGCUUGCAGUUCCCAGUGGGCCGUAUUCAUCGACACCUGAAAUAUAGGACGACCAGUCAUGGACGUGUGGGCGCGACUGCCGCUGUGUACAGCGCAGCCAUCCUGGAGUACCUCACCGCAGAGGUACUUGAACUGGCAGGAAACGCAUCAAAAGACUUAAAGGUAAAGCGUAUUACCCCCUCGUCACUUGCAACUUGCUAUUCGUGGAGAUGAAGAAUUGGAUUCUCUCAUCAAAGCUACAAUUGCUGGUGGUGGUGUCAUUCCACACAUCCACAAAUCUCUGAUUGGGAAGAAAGGACAACAGAAGACUGUCUAAAGGAUGCCUGGAUUCCUUGUUAUCUCAG